rnacentral:rRNA from 1 species
AUUGAACGCUGGCGGCAUGCCUUACACAUGCAAGUCGAACGGCAGCAUGGGUGCUUGCACCUGAUGGCGAGUGGCGAACGGGUGAGUAAUGAAUCGGAACGUACGCGGAAGUGGGGAUAACGUAGCGAAAGUUACGCUAAUACCGCAUAUUCUGUGAGCAGGAAAGCGGGGGAUCGCAAGCACUCUCGCUUCCGUAGCGGCCGAUGUCGGAUUAGCUAGUUGGCGGGGUAAAGGCCCACCAAGGCAACGAUCCGUAGCGGGUCUGAGAGGAUGAUCCGCCACACUGGGACUGAGACACGGCCCAGACUCCUACGGGAGGCAGCAGUGGGGAAUUUUGGACAAUGGGGGCAACCCUGAUCCAGCCAUGCCGCGUGAGUGAAGAAGGCCUUCGGGUUGUAAAGCUCUUUCGGCUGGGAAGAAAUCGCAUCUCCUAAUACGGGGUGUGGAUGACGGUACCAGCAUAAGAAGCACCGGCUAACUACGUGCCAGCAGCCGCCGCGGUAA